rnacentral:rRNA from 1 species
AUUGAACGCUGGCGGCAUGCCUUACACAUGCAAGUCGAACGGCAGCGGACCUUCGGGUGCCGGCGAGUGGCGAACGGGUGAGUAAUAUAUCGGAACGUACCUUUCAGUGGGGGAGUAACGUAGCGAAAGUUACGCUAAUACCGCAUAUUCUGUGAGCAGGAAAGCAGGGGAUCGCAAGACCUUGCGCUGAUUGAGCGGCCGAUAUCAGAUUAGCUAGUUGGUGAGGUAAAGGCUCACCAAGGCGACGAUCUGUAGCGGGUCUGAGAGGAUGAUCCGCCACACUGGAACUGAGACACGGUCCAGACUCCUACGGGAGGCAGCAGUGGGGAAUUUUGGACAAUGGGCGCAAGCCUGAUCCAGCCAUGCCGCGUGAGUGAAGAAGGCCUGGUUGU